rnacentral:lncRNA from 1 species
CGAAUCUGGACCCUCGAGCGGAGGAUCUUGGCGUCGGAUCCGUAUCUUGGAGCGGAGGAGCUCGGUGCCGAUCCAGACGCUGGAGCAGUCCCACCCCCACGUUAAGUCCAGCAGCGAGCACUUCAAGGCAAAACUGGUCCACAUCGAGCUGCUCAGGUGACUCAUGUGUUCCCCCAUGUGGUUCUAUAUCCAUCUUUCUGCAGGGAUUUUACUAGCAUGCCGGUGGUGAGGGAUCUGCACGGCCAGGGUCUGACGCUCGACGGAACCUGAUCUGAAUGAAUCCAAGUGCCAUGAUGCCAAUACUGCAGAUUUUGCUCACCCAGUGCAAUGACCAGAGCUUGCAUUCGGAUUCCUAAAAAUCUAGUAUUUCACAUUCCAUUCCAGGAGAUACUUAAAUCUUAGCUUCGACCAUGUUUGUUUUUUUUAGAGUAAUUUUUAAUCAAAUGCUAUGCAGACCCAUGGGUUGAGGAAUAAAGCAACACUGGAAGUUUAUGAGAGAUAUAUUUUUUUAUUUCAAAUAUGUUGUUUGCUACGGCAUGCUUAUCAUGAUUGGAGGUUCAUGUUAUGUGAUAGUCUUAUUCAUCUGUGGGUAUGAAGAUUUAUUAAUGUCUUACACAAAUUUGUGAGGACACAAGUGAAUCCUAUAUGUAUUCCAAAAUUAUCUUCACUUCUACAGGCUCUACUUCUUCCCAUUUUCACAAAUGUGUUAUGGAAGUAGGUAGUAUUAAUUUAGUUGGCCCAACUAAUUAUACAUUAGCUUCAAUAAAUUCUUGUGUAUUGUUUUAUGAUUUUUUGGUUGGAAAUUUCAUAUCAUUAAGAGAGCUCUCUACUUUUAUUUUGCAUACCUAACUUAGUUUUCAGUUUUAUAUUCUUUGUAUGAAUCAGUUUGGAUGUAGUUUCAGUUACCGUUUGUAUUUCUAUCUAUCUUGUUAUAUGAUAUAUGUGAAGCUACUAUAAUACUAUGCAUUUUGGCUUGUAUCUUUUGUCAUCACAAUUUUAGAUGAUUGUUUUAGUAUGGAACGCAUGAGCAUGUGCUCUGGUCUGGCUGUUACCAUUUAUUCAACAUUUCUUAGUGCUAGUUGUCUGAAUAUUUUGCUUGAUUUAUUCUCUGCACAAGUUGUGGUCUUUUUACAAUGUAAUAGCAGCUUAACUCAUUCUGUCCUUUUAGUUAUGGCCGCUUCGGUUACAAAUCGUUUUGCCUGCCUUGGUUUUUAGGUAGCAAUAAUAGCAGACUGUUGUAUUCCUCUCUAACGAGAAUCAGCAGCUGCUACAAUUUGUUCUUGUUGUCAGUUCUCUAAAGUCUGAUUAAUAUGUUGACAACUAAAGAAUGCAGGUUUUUAUUAACUAGUGCAGCAGCAGCUCGUGCUUUUCACGGGUAGUUUUUCUCGCUGCCAUUCACCAACCACAGCCACAGGAGUAGACAGACAGCAGCUAUUGGUUUUCUUCAAUGACGACAAAAGCUUUAGCAAUAGUAUUCUGGUAUGUUCAUUUCAGUUUAGGUUUCAGUAACUAGUGCAGCCGCACAUUGGAGUUAGUUCAGCACUGUUAGUGCAUCACUUUACAUAGAUUUUAUUUUGUGAAUUUUAAGAUUUGAUGGUCAUUUAUUAUUUUUAUACAAAUGUGAGUUUUCAGAGUUUCAAUUUUUUGUUUAUAUGAAGCUCUAUUGUUUAUUGUUUGCCAUGCGUUGGUUCCUCUAGACUUAUUGACCACAAUAUUCAGUUUACAUGGAAACAUGAUCCAUGUAUCUCAUUUUCUGCCUCUCUUGCUCGUUAUGGAUUAGUGUUUGCUUCUCUACAUGGUUGUGUAGUUUUAGUUCUCUGCAUUCCAAUUGUUAACUAAAAUAUAUUAUUUUGUUGUAGUUACUCUGUUUAACCACGACCGCAGGAUCUGGCUCCAAUGGCUUGGUUCGGCUGUAGCGCCAUCCUAGAGCGCACGACGAUCUGAUAGGUGGCUACUGGUUGUAUUUCUUUGAUAAGUGGCAAAAAUUUGAUAAGUGUACAAAAUGACCAUCCAUGCUUUCAAUAAGGGAAUCGAUGGAUAAACAACAUUGGAGAAAUGCUUGACGAAGGAGCAUCAUUCCAUUGAGGCGGCUGCAUUGCCUAUUUGCUUAUUUGCGGCACGGAGAGACAAUUGUUGGUUGUAUGAAUUAGUUUUGUUUCUAAAUUGCUUCAUCAUCAAUGUGUAAAUAUUUAUAUAUAUAUAAACAUAUUUGACCAAAUGGUUGUAAAUCUAUAAUUAGAAAUGUAAUAAAGAAAUGUCAUCA